rnacentral:lncRNA from 1 species
AUAUAAUCUUAUUAUACUAAUAUACUAGCUAUAUAGCAUAUUAUAUAAAAUAUGCAAAAAGUGAUAGAUAUCAAGCUUGCUACUGCCUUUCCACCUGCAGAGCAAGUUAAAUAGUGUAGGAUAAUACUAAAGUAAUUGAAAGAUAAGGAAGCAGAGGACUUAUUAUUUUUUCAGUGGGUUCUCUAUUCUUUCGGUGGGUUCUAUCAAUACCAAAGUGCAGAAACACUAUCUCUUCCCUCUUCUGUGGCUGCUCUGCUUCCACUUGGUUUGAGUGGCUUCUCUUCACCUUUGCUUGCUUCUUUGCCCAUAAACCCUUCAUCACCUCUUGAGUGGUGUUGAGCUUGUAAACUUGGCCAAGAACAAGAGCAUUAGUUGACUGGUCUUAUAUGCAUUGAUCCAACGUCGCCAUCUUCAUCCUCAAACUCUACCAGAAGUGAUAGCCAAAAUUUGUUGAACCUUCAUUUACAUGGAAGGCCACCUGCCUACCAGGAUAUUAACAUGGCGUAGAGGGGUUUU